UUUUGACCUCAACUCAGUCGAGAUUACCCGCUGAACUUAAGCAUAU
rnacentral:rRNA from 8 species